rnacentral:rRNA from 1 species
UACGAAGGGGGCUAGCGUUGCUCGGAAUCACUGGGCGUAAAGCGCACGUAGGCGGAUUGUUAAGUCAGGGGUGAAAUCCUGGAGCUCAACUCCAGAACUGCCUUUGAUACUGAAGAUCUUGAGUUCGGGAGAGGUGAGUGGAACUGCGAGUGUAGAGGUGAAAUUCGUAGAUAUUCGCAAGAACACCAGUGGCGAAGGCGGCUCACUGGCCCGAUACUGACGCUGAGGCACGAAAGCGUGGGGGAGCAAACAGGG